UACGUAGGGUGCAAGCGUUGUCCGGAAUUAUUGGGCGUAAAGAGCUCGUAGGCGGUCUGUCGCGUCCGUUGUGAAAAACUCGGGGCUCAACUCCCGAGCUUGCAUUCGAUACGGGCAGGCUAGAGUUCGGUAGGGGAGACUGGAAUUCCUGGUGUAGCGGUGAAAUGCGCAGAUAUCAGGAGGAACACCAGCGGCGAAGGCGGGCGCUCG
rnacentral:rRNA from 1 species